CGCCCUUUGCAUUGACGCGUCCAGGGCCUCUUUUUAUUUUCAACUUCAUUUUCCAUAACAUUAUGGCGGUGAGAGCGUACUUGCUCAACAUUAUGAAAACGAGGUUGGACUUGACACCGUUAAUCGUGAAGACAUGGAAGAGCGCCACCCGUUGUUUGAUUCAGUCAUGUCAACAUUAUGUACGUUAGUAGACUCUGUGUACUGAGAAUCUGACUAAACUUUUUUUGUAACUGUGUCCGGACUUUACGAUCUUAUUUGGUCCGUAGGAUGCAAAUCCCGCCAGACACGGCUUACCGGAUAAAAUACCUCAUGUUGUUAACUUGUUGAAUGCCUUGCACACGCUGUUCGACGCCAUCAUUUCCAACUAUGACGUCUACAAGGUUGAUAGCAUCGACGAUGCCUACAUGUUGGUCUCCUGCCUACUGAUCCGUAAUGGCAGUCGGGC